ACGGGAGGCAGCAGUGGGGAAUUUUGGACAAUGGGGGCAACCCUGAUCCAGCAAUGCCGCGUGUGUGAAGAAGGCCUUCGGGUUGUAAAGCACUUUUGUCCGGAAAGAAAACUUCGGGGUUAAUACCCCUGGAGGAUGACGGUACCGGAAGAAUAAGCACCGGCUAACUACGUGCCAGCAGCCGCGGUAAUACGUAGGGUGCGAGCGUUAAUCGGAAUUACUGGGCGUAAAGCGUGCGCAGGCGGUCCGCUAAGACCGAUGUGAAAUCCCCGGGCUUAACCUGGGAACUGCAUUGGUGACUGGCGGGCUAGAGUAUGGCAGAGGGGGGUAGAAUUCCACGUGUAGCAGUGAAAUGCGUAGAGAUGUGGAGGAAUACCGAUGGCGAAGGCAGCCCCCUGGGCCAAUACUGACGCUCAUGCACGAAAGCGUGGGGAGCAAACAGGAUUAGAUACCCUGGUAGUCCACGCCCUAAACGAUGUCAACUAGUUGUCGGGUCUUCAUUGACUUGGUAACGUAGCUAACGCGUGAAGUUGACCGCCUGGGGAGUACGGUCGCAAGAUUAAAACUCAAAGGAAUUGACGGGGACCCGCACAAGCGGUGGAUGAUGUGGAUUAAUUCGAUGCAACGCGAAAAACCUUACCUACCCUUGACAUGUAUGGAAUCCUGCUGAGAGGUGGGAGUGCCCGAAAGGGAGCCAUAACACAGGUGCUGCAUG
rnacentral:rRNA from 1 species